UUUCCAGUAGCACCUUAGAGACCAACUAAGUUAGUUAUUGGUAUGAGCUUUCGUGUGCAUGCACACUUCUUCAGAUAAAUGUGUGCAUGCACACGAAAGCGCAUACCAAUAACUUAGUUGGUCUCUAAGGUGCUACUGGAAG